UAAUUGACUAAUUUAACGAUUUCCUUUUCCUAUUUGAUAUUGAUUAGUUCACCAAUCCAUAUGUAAUGGAACUCUCUUCACUUUUCUGAUUAAUAUAUAAAAUAUAAAAUAAUAGAAUUAGAAAAUACUCGAUUUACUAUUCACUGAAUAAUAAUUUUUUGGUUGACAAAAGAAUAAAGAUCAUUUCUAUUCCAAGGUGGGGAGUUUUAUUUUCCCCAUCGACCUA
rnacentral:sRNA from 1 species